CGAACUUAGCCCUUCCUUACUUGUUUUUUGAUUACAAAUAUAGCUGUAUUCUCAAAAAGGUAUCAAGAUAAAUUCGUAUACGAUACCUUCAAUGCUACCAAGUUUUAGUUUUCAUAUUUAGACAAAUUUUACCAUUGUAAAUGGUUCAAAUGACAAAGAUUUGUCAAAAAUUUAAAUACAAACUUUUUUAUUUUUAAAACUUAAGAUUUAUAAUCAAUUAUAAUUGUUUAUAGAAAGCAAAACUAAGAGGUUCCUAACACGUAUUUUGACAUGACAAUAAACAUUUUUCGUAAAAAGAAUGAAUUACAACUCAAAUGGGCAUUCGUCAGAAGACAUGUUCGCGAAUACAUGUUUGCUAUACAAGUAUUGCCCGUUUGCUUUGUUCGAUUCACUGCUCUCCAAUACUUGGCGCAGGCAGCUAAUAUGAAAAUUACUCGAUAAUUUUAACAAAAGUACCUUAAACAAAUACACAGAAAGCACUGGUCUCGAGAUUAAGCCCACGAAAAUAUUAAAUUUAAACUGGCUCAGGAUAGUGAGAGAUUCUAUGAACUUCUUUGGCUACAUGACGUACAGGAUUAGUUAUUCUUUCGACAUACGCAUCAAGAGCAAGCUUAGAUGUUGGCUCUUACAGGAAAUGGUGUGCAACUACGAGAUCUGCGAACUAUUGGAGAGUGGAUAUCACGAAUCAACGACUGCGCUCUGUGGCGAAUACGGUUCGUUUCUUCCUGAAAAGCCUGCGAAUCAAUUUUUUAAAAUAUUGUAAUACAAAUAGAUUCAUACAUGGA